CCUACGGGGGGCUGCAGUCGAGAAUCUUCGGCAAUGGGGGAAACCCUGACCGAGCGACGCCGCGUGUGGGAUGAAGGCCCUUGGGUUGUAAACCACUGUCAGAGGGGAUGAAGUGCUGGAAAGCUAUCUUUCCGGUUUGACAUAGCCUCAGAGGAAGCACGGGCUAAGUUCGUGCCAGCAGCCGCGGUAAGACGAACUGUGCAAACGUUAUUCGGAAUCACUGGGCUUGAAGAGUGCGUAGGCGGUUUCGUAAGUAGGGUGUGAAAGCCCUCGGCUCAACCGGGGAAUUGCGUCCUAAACUGCGAGGCUAGAGUGAGGUAGGGGUGUGCGGAACUUCCAGUGGAGCGGUGAAAUGUGUUGAUAUUGGAAGGAACGCCGGUGGCGAAAGCGGCACACUGGACCUUGUCUGACGCUGAGGCACGAAAGCCAGGGGAGCAAACGGGAUUAGAUACCCCAGUAGUC
rnacentral:rRNA from 1 species